rnacentral:lncRNA from 1 species
UACUCAUCGGAAGGACUGAUGCUGAAGCUCCAAUACUUUGGCCACCUGAUAGGAAAACACCCUGAUGCCGCGAAAGAUUGAAGACAGAAGAGAUGGUUGGAUGGCAUCAUGAUUCAAUGCACAUGAACUUGGGCAAACUCUGGGAGAUGGCAAGGGACAGGGAAGCCUGGCAUGCUGCCAAAAUAUGGGAUAGAAGUAAUUUACGGUGUUGUAAGGUUGGUUUAUUUUCCUUGGUGCUUGAGACCUCAUAGCAAAGAACUGGAAAGAUGUGAAAGACGUACCCCCUAUAGUUACAACACACAGAAUUCUAGUAAGCAGGCACCUAGCAGUAUUCCUAACUACAGCUCCAUUGUUCACUCGCUAAGUGCUAACCCCAGCUCAAUUGUUCAGUGACUUAAGUACCGUCCUUCACCAACUCCCAAAGUAUACUCAAAAUUCUUGUUCGUCGAGUCAGUGGUGCCAUCCCCGUUUCUCUUCGGCCCGCCUCGUUCUCUCCUUGCAAAUGUUGCCCAACGUCAGCUUUUUUCCUCAGAUGGCGAAAACAUGGGACCCUCACCACCAGCCUUUCCAAAGACGAUUCACAAUUGACUUUCAGAAAUCGUUCACACCAAACACAGCUUCAGCACGUUGUAAUUUGAACGUGACAAGGUACAGUUGGCUUCUCUUUUUAUACUUUUUGUCUCCUCCCCCUGGAACCUGAUUGGUUCAGUCCUAUGCAAAAUAGGACUUGUACCACACUCAAGGCCAAUCAGGGAAGGGGCAUGUUUGGGGCAUGUUUUCCUGCCAGAGGUUCUCACUCUGGUCCUCCACAGCGUCUGAGGCUUCUAUUGUUCACGUAUUUCUGCCUUCUUGGACUCCUUUUUCUACUCUUAUCUAAUGGUGUCUUUCCAUGUUUCAGUUACUUUUGUGGGAGUCAAUUAUUGCAGGCAAGAUUUAAACUAAGUAAUGGCAUUUGGCUCUCGUUUUCUUGGAAGUGAAGAGCAGAACACAGCUGUGGAAAAAAUUGUUCCUAAUCAGGCCAGGUGCACCUAUAAAGGCAGAAUGUGUCACUUGCUGACCUUAUCCAUAAAAUUUGUCUCUGGCUGAGCUUUCAGUUCAGUUCAGUUCAAUCACGCAGUCGUGUCCGACUCUUUGCGACCGCAUAAAUCGCAGCACACCAGGCCUCCCUGUCCAUCACCAACUCCCGGAGU